rnacentral:rRNA from 1 species
UACGGGGGGGGCAAGCGUUGUUCGGAAUUACUGGGCGUAAAGGGCUCGUAGGCGGCCAACUAAGUCAGACGUGAAAUCCCCAGGCUCAACCUGGGAACUGCGUCCGAUACUGGAUGGCUUGAGUUUGGGAGAGGGAUGCGGAAUUCCAGGUGUAGCGGUGAAAUGCGUAGAUAUCAGGAGGAACACCGGUGGCGAAAGCGCUCAUCUGGCCCAAUACUGACGCUGAGGCGCGAAAGCUAGGGGAGCAAACGGG